rnacentral:rRNA from 1 species
UACGUAGGUGGCAAGCGUUGUCCGGAUUUAUUGGGUUUAAAGGGUGCGUAGGCGGUCUUAUAAGUCAGUGGUGAAAUACGGCAGCUCAACUGUCGAGGUGCCAUUGAUACUGUAGGACUUGAGUACAGGCGAGGUAGGCGGAAUUGACGGUGUAGCGGUGAAAUGCUUAGAUAUCGUCAAGAACACCGAUAGCGAAGGCAGCUUACUAGGCUGUAACUGACGCUGAGGCACGAAAGUGUGGGGAUCAAACAGG